rnacentral:rRNA from 1 species
GCCUACGGGGGGCAGCAGUAGGGAAUUUUCGUCAAUGGACGCAAGCCUGAACGAGCAAUGCCGCGUGAACGAGGAAGGUCUUCGGAUCGUAAAGUUCUGUUGAAGGGGAAAAAGAGCGGAGAGAGGAAAUGGUCUCCGAUUGAUAUUACCCUUCGAGGAAGUCACGGCUAACUACGUGCCAGCAGCCGCGGUAAUACGUAGGUGGCGAGCGUUAUCCGGAAUGAUUGGGCGUAAAGGGUGCGUAGGCGGCCUGCUAAGUCUGGAGUGAAAGGUACCGGCUCAACCGGUACAGGCUCUGGAAACUG